rnacentral:lncRNA from 1 species
CAUAGGGAUACACAGAGGGCUAGGUCACCCGGCAAAAUCAUAAACGGGCUGGGUCAACAGUUCAGUUUCUUGGCGGCCCAAUUCAAGUCUUAGGACCCACUGUGUGGCCGGACUGGAUGGCCGUGAUGCCUUCCUUGACUAGGUUCAUGACAUAUAUGUAAGUGUUUUCCACCAUUCAAUGCAAGAACAGUUUCAUAAUUGUUUUAAAAUUUUUCAAGCAGUUGUUAUAAAGCAAUUAGAUAUGGACUAGUAAAACCGACUCUCUACAUCCUUUUCUCUCAAUAAUUUUAGGAAUAGUGAUGUCAUGGAACUUAACCUUGGAACCAAAAAAGAGGUCCAUGCCGUAUGGCAUGAGAGAAUUGCUGCAAUCCACUGGAGGUGAGACUUAUAGGAGAGAGUUCUGGAUGCAAAGAAUCAAUCCUCACGUGACAUGUGGCAAUGACUUAUUUGUUUUCUUUUAUGCCCCAUGGAUCACCAAGGAUUUUUAUAUUGGCGAAGCAAGAGGCAAGGGUUAUCAAACAUUGCUGAGUAAAAUAGGAGAG